GCCAUCAGGUUAAGCUGGGACUCUAAAGGAACUGCCUACGCAAGUAGUGAGGAAGGCGGGGAUGACGUCAAAUCAGCACGGCCUUACGUCCAGGGCUACACACGUGCUACAAUGGCCGAUACAGAGGGCAGCUACCUGGUGACAGGAUGCAAAUCUCCAAAGUCGGUCUCAGUUCGGAUCGGAGUCUGCAACCCGACUCCGUGAAGUUGGAUUCGCUAGUAAUCGCGCAUCAGCCAUGGCGCGGUGAAUACGUUCCCGGGGCCUU
rnacentral:rRNA from 1 species